rnacentral:rRNA from 1 species
UAGGUGGUUAAAAAAGUUGGUGGUGAAAUCCCAGAGCUUAACUCUGGAACUGCCAUCAAAACUUUUUAGCUAGAGUAUGAUAGAGGAAAGCAGAAUUUCUAGUGUAGAGGUGAAAUUCGUAGAUAUUAGAAAGAAUACCAAUUGCGAAGGCAGCUUUCUGGAUCAUUACUGACACUGAGGAACGAAAGCAUGGGUAGCGAAGAGGAUUAGAUACCCUCGUAGUCCAUGCCGUAAACGAUGUGUGUUAGACGUUGGAAAUUUAUUUUCUGUGUCGCAGCGAAAGCAAUAAACACACCGCCUGGGGAGUACGACCGCAAGGUUAAAACUCAAAUGAAUUGACGGGGACCCGCACAAGUAGUGGAGCAUGUGGUUUAAUUCGAAGAUACGCGCAGAACCUUACCAACACUUGACAUGUUCGUCGCGACUUUAAGAGAUUAAAGUUUUCGGUUCGGCCGGACGAAACACAGGUGCUGCAUGGCUGUCGUCAGCUCGUGUCGUGAGAUGUUGGGUUAAGUCCCGCAACGAGCGCAACCCUCACUUUUAGUUGCCAUCAUUUAGUUGGGCACUCUGAAAGAACUGCCAGUGAUAAGCUGGAGGAAGGUGGGGAUGACGUCAAGUCCUCAUGGCCCUUACGUGUUGGGCUACACACGUGCUACAAUGGCAUUUACAAUAGGAAGCAAGACGGCGACGUUAAGCAAAUCCUAAAAAAAUGCCUCAGUUCGGAUUGUACUCUGCAACUCGAGUACAUGAAGCUGGAAUUACUAGUAAUCGCGGAUCAGCGCGCCGCGGUGAAUACGUUCCCGGGUCUUGUACACACCGCCCGUCACACCAUGGGAG